AAGGGGAGCAAUCCCUGAGUAAAGUGGCGACCGGGUGAGUAACACGUGACUAACCUACCCUCGAGUGUGGAAUAACAUCGGGAAACCGAUGCUAAUACCGCAUAACAUCGCAAGAUCAAAGGAGCAAUCCGCUUGAGGAGGGGGUCGCGGCUGAUUAGCUAGUUGGCGGAGUAACGGCCCACCAAGGCGAAGAUCGGUAGCCGGCCUGAGAGGGCGCACGGCCACACUGGAACUGAAACACGGUCCAGACUCCUACGGGAGGCAGCAGUGGGGAAUUUUGCGCAAUGGGGGAAACCCUGACGCAGCAACGCCGCGUGGAGGAUGAAGCCCCUUGGG
rnacentral:rRNA from 1 species